rnacentral:rRNA from 1 species
UACGUAGGGUGCGAGCGUUAAUCGGAAUUAUUGGGCGUAAAGAGCUCGUAGGCGGUGCGUCGCGUCGGCCGUGAAAACCUGCAGCUUAACUGUGGGCUUGCGGUCGAUACGGGCAUCACUGGAGUUCGGCAGGGGAGACUGGAAUUCCUGGUGUAGCGGUGAAAUGCGCAGAUAUCAGGAGGAACACCGGUGGCGAAGGCGGGUCUCUGGGCCGAUACUGACGCUGAGGAGCGAAAGCGUGGGGAGCGAACAGG